rnacentral:tRNA from 1 species
GCUCCUAUAGCUCAGUCGGUAGAGCGUGCGGCUGUUAAGCAGUUGGUCACCGCAAGGUCGGCAGUUCAAGCCUGUCUGGGAGCG